ACCUGACAAGUUCUGGUUCAAUUUGAAGAACCCGACUAAGGUUCUGGGUUUCUGGUUCUGUUCUUUCUUCGGGUCAAACCCGGAGAUUCCAGAACUUUGAAGGAGAUGGUUCACCAGAACCGAUGGUUCUGUUGGCUGGAAAAGAGUUCAGACUGAGGUCAUGUGACCUGGACUGUUUCAGCUCCAAUGAGCAGGAAGAUGAACACACACACACACACACACCUACACACACAUACCCACACACACACACACACACAUUCAUAGCCAUGCUUUUGUGUCUUGUAGGGACUUCACACUGAUUUCCAUUCAUUUUCUACAGCCUAACCCAAAAACGUUACCCCCUCAUGGGGAGCAAAAUGUCCCCGCAAGGACAGAAACACCCGGUUCACUCUCUGAGUGUGUGUGAGGAAACCAGACGUUCUGAUGCAAAUCGGACUCAGCGUUGUUUGUGAAGCUACUGGACCUCACAGAGACGGUAAACCGGGCCAGAGAGACGAGGAGCCUGACCUGGAGCUCCUCUUCUGUCAGCUCUCCUUAGAUCCCAGCCUGACCCGGAUCACUGCACACUGGGUUUAAUGGGAUGACUGGGUUUAGGACUGAACUGCAACUGGGUCACUGAAGCGGUCCUGGAACAGCUCUUGAGAACCACAGAGAUGUAGUGCUGUUGGUAGGAAGCUGUUCCAGAUUCAAGUUGGGUCAGCGCAUCGUGCCAAACAGAACAUCAACUAUUGGAGAUGUGGACUCGUCUUUGGCUCCGCCCCCACAGCCAAUGAACCAAUCAACAGCUGACUUCACACCAGUACCGCCCGGCCUGAAUGGACCCACAGGGUUCCAGGACUGGGUAUGGACCGGGCCCUGAGGGCUUAUCCAAAGACGCUGGACCCAUGUUCGAGGCUCGACCCGGCUCAGCCCGACUGGACUCGACCCGACUCUCCAGUUUAAAAAAGACCUUGGGCUUCUGUCUCUGCUCUGUGUGGUUCCGGAUGGUUCUGGAUGGUCCUGGAUGGUCUUAGAUGGUUCUGGAUGGUCUUAGAUGGUUCUGGAUGGUCCUGGAUGGUCUUAGAUGGUUCUGGAUGGUCCUGGAUGGUCUUAGAUGGUUCCGGAUGGUCACACGCUGGGAAUUCCAAGGGGGCAGAUGACUGCUGAUUCUGAGCCCCGUACUGGUUCUGGUUCUGUUGGAGGUUUUUUUCUCUCUACUGUCACCCCCUGCUGGUCAGAAGGUGGUUCUGUAGGUCAGAAUCCUCUUCAGGGUUUCCAUAGAAAUGCUUAACUAAUUUGAAUCAUGAACUAAACUUGAGCCGUUGAUCAACUCGGAUCAGUCCAAUCGAUUGUGUUGGAAAGUUCUGUUGGUAAAGAGCCUGUAGAAAUGAACAGAUCCGAUUUAUUGCAGGGUCCAGUCCAGCUCUGAUUUUGAUCUGCAGCAUUUCUGGGACUUUAACCUGUUUGUGAUCUACAUGAAGCUGGACCAAUCCUGACUCUUGACCCUGAUUCUGUGGAAACAGCGUCUCAUGAAGCCCAGCUGGGCCGGAUGAUCUGGACCCACCCUGCUCCUGCCCGGAGUCUGGUCCAGAUGGAAACCCGGACCGAGGCGGCGCUGCAGCAGCUCUGGCCUGAAUCUCCUAUAGAAAUAUAUGAAACUAUUUGGUAAUUUGCUCUUUAGAAUGAACACAUUUCCAGAGAUCAAGGCGCCCUGUAAACAUAUUCUUGUGUGUUCUGACCCAGUCAGCUGAAGCUCCUCUGACAGAACCCGGCUGCAGCAUAACUUCAUUAUUAACCUGAUAAGAGCUGCUUUAUAGGGAAACAGCUAUGAAGCUUUCUCUGGCUUUGUGUUUUUUCUUGCGUUUGAAUGGAGCAGAUGAGUCCUUCCUUAGUUUGGUCUCUGAGGCGACCCGGGUCAAAGCUGCCGGUCCGGACCGUCUGCCGGGGUUUGAGGUUUAACUGCUCUGGCCUUAAAUCUUACCCUAACCCUAACCCCCUGACCCUGUCAGUGUUUCCCAUCAUCAAAAACACAACACAAACACAUGGAGUCUCAUGUGCAACAUUUUAAUCUCAGUGAUGACGUCAGAGUUUCACAGCAGGGUUAGAAAAAUAGAAUCUGGGAUCAUAAAAGUCCAGAAUGCUGGAAGUGAAGAUGAGCCGGAUCCACACAGAGUUGUGCUCUUUCUACACUUUGACUGAUGAUGACCACAAACUGCAGAGCUCACUUCAAAAUUAAAGCUGAUCUGAAGGAUGACUUUAAUUUAAAAAAAUUGAAAAAUUGACUUAAAAGUACAAAAUAUUCAAUAAUGUUUGUAUUUCAGAUGAAUGAGAUUAUCUCCAGUAGCAGAAUAAAAACGUCAUCUGUUUUAUUAAAUCAGCUUAAAGCAGUAAAGUUAUCUUCCAUCAUCAGUAACAGGAAUAAAACCAGGAACAUUUUUCCAUCAAGUAAACACUGUUUGGGUUUUAAAAGUUUCCACUUGGAGUUGGAUCUCCUUAUGAACAUGGCGGAGGUUGGAUCCACCUCCAGCACCUGGUGAAGAAACUCGGCGUCCUCUGGC